rnacentral:rRNA from 1 species
GAUCAUGGCUCAGGACGAACGCUGGCGGCGCGCCUAACACAUGCAAGUCGAACGGAGUUAUUUCAGCAGAAGCUUUCGGGUGGACGCAGGGAUAACUUAGUGGCGAACGGGUGAGUAACACGUGAGGAACCUGCCCUGGAGUGGGGGACAACAGUUGGAAACGACUGCUAAUACCGCAUAAGUUCACAGCACCGCAUGGUGCAGAGGGAAAAGGAGCAAUUCGCUUCAGGAUGG